CCCAAAAAUUUUGAAAACCCGCCUUGUUCUGUUCUCCCCUCUCAUCGGAGGUCUGCUCGAUGUCCUUCUUAUUAGUAUCACCAAAUAUCUCGUUCGCCGCCCCCCGCCCUAUCUAUAACAAACCUCUCUCUCUCUCUUCCAUUACCCACCACAAAUGGUUUUUCGAACACAAGUCAGGGAAAAUCUUGGUCAAUUCUCCAGGUUUUUGCAACAAAUUUAUGGACAUCCAUAUACAUAUCGUGAUUUCAAAUUCAUCUUAUGAAAUAAACAUUCCCUCAAUUUCGAUUUGAUGCAGUAAUACACGACCAACUACAAGUUUCUUUCUCUCUCUCUCUCUCUCUCUCUCUCUCUCUCUCUACCCCCUACUGUUCGACAACCACCCAGGCACCCACCAUCCUUCGUCUUCUCUCUGGUUCACCAGCGGCACCAAUAAAUCCCCAUUAUACCACCACCACCAAUCGCAUUAAUCGAACCGAUUCAGUUUUUUCCAAAUUAAGGCUCGCCAACUGUAUGAUGAAAUGCCUAAGAGAAAAAUUACAACAAAAAGUGUAUUUUGAUGCCCUUUCAAACACUUGACUUUGUUGGAUAACUGAUUGAUCUUUAUAAAUAUGAAGCCUUGAGGGUUAUGGGGGAUGGCGAUAAAGGCACACAAGUGAGGAGGGCUGUUGAGGGGUUAAUGGUUGUAGGUGUUGUUAAUCGUAUUUCAUACCCUGGUAAUCAUAAUUUUCUCUCACUUCCCAAUUCAUAUUUAUAUCUGUUUUCUAUGUAUAUCUUGUCGUUCUCUUCCUUUGACCAGGUAAUAUCAUCAAUUUGAUUUCCCGUAUUUUUAGUUGAUCAGUUAUUAUUUGGGAUUUAUGAUAUUUUUUGAAGCAAAUCUGAUUAUAUACAAUUUCACUGAAUUCAAUCAACAGGUGAUGAAAUUUUUUAAACAUAUUUCUUUAUUUUAAGACUCAUUUCACCAUUUUUGUGAUUACAUACAUAAUGACAGGUUGGUGACUCAGCAGGACCUGAAUGUAAAGCCGUAUUACAAGAAGUUACUCAGCAGGACCUGAAUGUAAAGCCUUGGUUAUCUUUAAAAAAAACACUGAACAACUUCUUUUUUUAAUCUUUGAAUACGUUAAUUUUUAUGUUUUUGUCCCAAGUUGUAGCGAAACAGGGGCAGUGAAAGAACAAUAAAAAACCAAUUUAUUUCCUUCUACUUUCAUUUAGUCGGUCUUUUCAUUUGUAUCAUUUAGCAUGUUACUUUUUAAUUGGGUUUUUUAUUCAAUAUAUAGAAUCAUAACCAAUGCAUCGUCCAAUAAUUUAGUAGUCAUGGGAUGAUGAUGAUGCAUCAAAUUCAAACCCUAAGUUAGAUAAGAAAAACAUGUCAUGGAAUGGUCCUUCAUGGGAUGAUGAUCAUGAAAAAACUAAGUCAUGGAAUGGUCCAUUGUGGGAUGAUUCAGGAUUAAACAAAAAAGGUUGUGAGAAAAAUGAUUACUUUUUGCCUAAACAACAUAAUGUGGUCAAUGAUUUUCAUAUGAACAAUGAGAAUAUAGUUUCUGUAGAAGAACCCAACCAACAAAUUAUUACAUCUGUAAAAUAUAUUAAAUGAUACAAAUGAAAAGUAACAAUUUAUAAUGAUGCACGCUCUUUUCAAGCUCCGGUUGGGUGGUCGGGUCGUAUCUGGGGUAGGAAAAAAAUUAUAAUUAUGGAACGGUUGUGCUUAUCUACUCAAGCUUUAGUUGAUUGUUAACCAUCUCUCAUGUUUUAUUUAAUCAAAUUUUGUUUGAUUGUUAGGUUUAGCUUAUGUCGAUCUUAUAAGAAUCAAUAUCUUUAUUGGAGAGAAGGGUUGUGUACAAGUGGUUCACCAAGGAAAAAAUCAAGGAGCAUUUUGGUCAAAAAUGUUUCUGCAAUCUUCUAAAGACUAAUAUCCAGAUGGAGAUUGUUUAUGCCAUUCCUGGCAGUUGCUUGAAUUACAAGAUGACAGUAAGAAGAGAUUUUAAACAGGGUGCAGAGAACAAGCUGGAAGCAUUGCUACAGGUUACAUUCUUUUUUAUUCUAUUUCUAUUCAUUUUAUGCUCUUUUAUUGGGAAAUUUGAAUUGUUUUUCAUCCUCUUGUGUUAUGUUGAUGUCAUAUUGUAACUGUAAAUGUCGAAUGAACUAUUAUUGAUUUUAAAAUUGAUAUCAACAUCUUC